GCUAAGUUAAGGUAUUGUAGGCAAUCAGAUAGGGCUGGGCCCUCAACAGAGUUAGCACAGAAGAUGAAAACACAUUGCAACUGUGGCCGGAGAUGCAUCUAUUGGAGACCAGGGCUCAAGAUAAAGAUGAAAUGACCAGGCCUGUAUACUUCCCCAAAGGACAAGCGCACCAGUCUCUUGGAUCUUACCCAGGUUUGGUGGUGGAACGAUUUAAUUCUGUGUAGUUGGAUCAGUUUCUGCCCAGUCUGUGACUUCUGCCCCUGCUCACUUGGGGUACCUGGGUAGGCAGCAAAUGUGCAGAAGCUGAGAAAUCCAAGACCAAGGUUUGAUGUCUGACAAGGGCCCAUUUUCUGGUUCCUGGAUGGUGUCCUCACAUGGUGGGAAGAACUAACUAGCUUUCUGGGGCCUCUUUUAUCAGGGCACUAACCCUAUUCAUGAGGGCUUCUCCUCAUGGCCUAGUUACCUCCAGAAAGCCUACCUCUAGUACCAUCACAUUUCAACACAGGAACCUGGGGAUGAUUUAAGUAUUCAGUGCAUUAUACUCUGAACUCUCUUGCUGCAUUCAACUUCCCAGCACAAGAACUUUCUGAACAGGAAAGCCCAAGAAGGGAGCAUCUGCAAAGCUGAGGUCUGAAUUCAUGUGGACUUCAGACAAACCUGGGCCAUCUAUCCAUCUGUCCAGAGAGGAAGCAUCUGUCCAAAGUGGAGCACUGAUGGAAGGUCUGGGAGGGGCUUAUCUAGAACCAGGCCCUGCAGUAGAACUGAGUUGCCUUUGGAGUCAUG
ensembl:lncRNA